rnacentral:rRNA from 1 species
CUAAACAUGCAGUCGAGCGGGACGAGUUAUCUGAACCUUCGGGGAACGAUAACGGCGUCGAGCGGCGGACGGGUGAGUAAUGCCUAGGAAAUUGCCCUGAUGUGGGGGAUAACCAUUGGAAACGAUGGCUAAUACCGCAUAACGCCUACGGGCCAAAGAGGGGGACCUUCGGGCCUCUCGCGUCAGGAUAUGCCUAGGUGGGAUUAGCUAGUUGGUGAGGUAAGGGCUCACCAAGGCGACGAUCCCUAGCUGGUCUGAGAGGAUGAUCAGCCACACUGGAACUGAGACACGGUCCAGACUCCUACGGGAGGCAGCAGUGGGGAAUAUUGCACAAUGGGCGCAAGCCUGAUGCAGCCAUGCCGCGUGUGUGAAGAAGGCCUUCGGGUUGUAAAGCACUUUCAGUCGUGAGGAAGGUAGUGUAGUUAAUAGCUGCAUUAUUUGACGUUAGCGACAGAAGAAGCACCGGCUAACUCCGUGCCAGCAGCCGCGGUAAUACGGAGGGUGCGAGCGUUAAUCGGAAUUACUGGGCGUAAAGCGCAUGCAGGUGGUUUGUUAAGUCAGAUGUGAAAGCCCGGGGCUCAACCUCGGAAUUGCAUUUGAAACUGGCAGACUAGAGUACUGUAGAGGGGGGGUAGAAUUUCAGGUGUAGCGGUGAAAUGCGUAGAGAUCUGAAGGAAUACCGGUGGCGAAGGCGGCCCCCUGGGACAGAUACUGACACUCAGAUGCGAAAGCGUGGGGAGCAAACAGGAUUAGAUA